UUAGUCGUAAUAAAAAAAUUAGAAUUAGUAAUAGUUAUGUUCUUUAAAAUUAAAGAUUUUGGCGGUAUUUUAGUCUAUUCAGAGGAACCUGUUCUAUAAUUGAUAGUCCACGAUAAAUUAAACUUGUUUUAUUAGUUUGUAUAACGUCGUAGAUGAAUAUUUUAAAAGAAUAAAAAUAUUCAAUAUUUUUAAUUUAAAUUUAAAUCAGAUCAUGUUGCAGCUUAUAAAUAAGGAGAAAUGGGUUACAAUAUAAUAAUAUAAAUGAAUAAAAUAUUUGAAAAAUUUUUUGAAAGUGGAUUUGAAAGUAAUUAAUUAUAUUUAUUUUUAAUGAUUUAAGCUCUAAAAUAUGC
rnacentral:rRNA from 1 species